CGUCCUGUUGAACCCUGUCCGCAUCAACAACCGCGGGUAUGUAGGUCAACGAGCACGCCAGUGUGUUCAAUAUCAUUCCGGACACGAUCAGAAUGCCGCCUCUGCAAGAAAAACGAUAUGACAUGUAAUGGGGGCGGAAUAGAAUAUUAUAUACCUGUAGCCGUAUGAAAAGGUCAAGAACUCGAGGUACGGCGGCAUGGCGAGAGCACCGAUGGCGGUGCCUGCCAGCGAAAACCCGUUGGCCAGUCCUCGGCGCUUGUCGAAAUACUCGUUGACGAUCAGUAUUCCUGCCGAGUAGCACAAGCCCGCGCCAAAUCCCACCAUCAAGCCGUAGCUGCGGAAAAUCGGGAAAACGGUCAUCGAUCAAGUGCGAUAUGGAGUUGGCGAACGAACUGUACAUCAUACCGGCGGAAGCCAAAAGUCCACCCCAGAACGUUACGGCUCGGUGUGAAAUCAAUUUACACAGUAGACAUGACAGCGACCCUGAAACCACCGAACAAAAUUCGAUCGUAUAUUUUUAUAUUACAAUUUGUCUUAACUCUUAGAUGAUUUUCGCUGAAAACAUAAUACUAACAAACUAUAAUAUAGCUAUAUAUGCAUCGGCGUGACUAGGAGGGGGAUUAGUCAUCCAUUCCAUCCUUCAAUAGACGUGUUUAGUCUCCCUAUACGUUUUUACUUUUUACUUUUUACUCUUACUACCUCCCGCCGGUUAAAAUCCAAAUCAAUCCAUAAAAUAAAAUUUUCUUUUGUAAAAUAUUUAAUAUAUAUAUUUGUAGGUACCUAUUAUAAUAUAAUAUUUAUUUAUUUGCUGAUAUAAUAGCUGUAAUAUAACCCGGCUUUGACCCCAAAUUAAUAUUAUUUUUAUUUUAAUUAUUUUUAAUGAUAAUAUUAAGAGUUAAUACAUUAUUAAAUCAUUAUAAAUAAUCACUUUGUUUUAUAGUUUAUAAUUUAUGUAUACAAGUUUCAAUGGGACAUAUUUUGCUGUUGUAUUGAUUGCAAUAUUGCUUUAAAAUCUGAGACCAUAUUAGACAGAGCAACUCGCUUAUCGUCCUUAAUGUUCAAUCGAGUUCUUGAUUUGUUUUUAAUUGUAAGUAUUGUAUAAAAUUCAGCCUUUCAGAGAUAUGUAUAAUAGCGAAUGGAAUCAAAAAUUACAUUGUCCUGCACUCCUGGAUGUAGCUCGCAGAUAAGCGUUUAUCAACGAACACCAAAAUUCGAUUUAAGUUUUUAUUUGUAAAUCGUGGUGUCCUAUUUAUUUUGAUCUUAAAUCAAUUAAUUCAUCAUUAACGAGGUCUGAAUCAUUAAUUCAUGAGAUUAAGUCCACGAUAAAAGGGUUACAUAACCAUAUUUUUGGUUUUAAAUAUGUAGAAUCGAAAUAAUUGCCAAAUGAAUUUUCAAGCACAUAUUGCACAUCAAUAGGUGCUUACAAUUUUUGUUUGUGGAACUGGAUAAAGCCAUAUUAUUUUUUGAAUGUUCGUGUGUAAUAAUUAGUUAGUAAGUAGUUAGUACGUAACCAUAUAAGUUUGGUAUAUAAAAAUAAUGACUGGUUUGUCUCGUUGUUGUCUUUCAAGUGGUGAAAUGUGGGCAAAAAACUAUUAUUGUUAUCUUAAAAACGUUAUCGGAAACUGUACAGAAAUAUGAACAACCGUUCACGUAAACCUACAAAAAUAAUAAAUUAUAUUCAAAAUCAUCACAAUAAAAAUUUACAUAAUAAAAAAAAUCACAGCCACUACAUGAACCCCCGAGUAACCAUCUACGGACCCCAAAGGGUCCAUGGACCACCGGUUAAGAACCUACUAUAUACUAUGUACAGUUAUCUGGUUAUAAUAAAUAUAGAAAGAGAAUUAUCUACGAUGUACGAUUAUCGAUAGUGAUAUUUUCUAUACAUUCGGGUCUAAGUACAGGGAUAUACAGGGGCUUUGCAUCCCACGGAUUAUUUUGGACUUUGGUUUUUUAGGACUCCUAUAGCCUCUGUAAUUAACUAUUAAAUCCUAUAGUUACGCCCAUAUGACUAAAAUAUUAUGAUGUGCAUAAUAAUAGUGUUUGUAAAUUGUAAAGCGAGUCCAAUAAUUGUGGUCUACCGCAGAAGAACGCGUUUCUAAAUUGAAAGAGUUCUAUAAUGUUGUAUUCAAAUUGUGGGCGGCAAAGGUUCGUUUGUAAUAGGAUGGGACUGCAGGCUUCAACGGCGUCCGUUUAAAAUAGUUUUGGAUUUCAUGUGCGACGAGGGUGCAGGAGUUGUUAGAGUUGCCGGUAUAGUGGAAGGGUGAUUGGAAUUUGUCGCCCACGCGUAAAAACGAAUUUAUUUAUAGUAAGUAAUGAGUGUAUAUGUGUUAAGUAGUAUUUUUAUAAUUUAAUACUGUUGUCGAUGGGAGCGCGGGUCAAGUGAGGUUGCUGCAAUUAUGUUAUAUACUUAUAUAAUUAUAUUAUAUUCUUCCGUUCGAAUGGAGGACUUUCGACUAGGGAAUGUGACUGCGAGAAGCGUUUUUAACAAUAAAACAUUUUAACGAAAUUAAAUUUUGUUCACUUGAUUCACAUACACAGGAUUCUUUUAACAGUGAUCACUGAUUAUUUCGAUAAAUAUUAAGAGGAUUUCAGUGCAUUAUUUGUUUUAUUUAUCCGACCCACCAACAUAAUAUUAAUUAUUAAUAAUUUAUUAUAUAGCAAACCAACCUUGUGUUGUUAGAUCGAAUAUUACAUAGUGAAUUGACCUAUUAUCAAACCUUAAGUUCAAAAAAUUAUCAUUGUUGGUAUGUUGACUUUUUAACGACAUUUUUUUACGCAAGUUAUGAUUAUUUAAAAAUAUUACGAUUUUAAAACACAGAUAACGCUUUAAACAUUAAAUUUGAUAAUAGAGGUCAGCUAUAACGACACAAGACUGGUUCUACACAACGAAAAUUUGAUAUGUGUGCAUUGCAGAGUCAGAGAGGGUGAGAGAGAGAGAGUGAGAGAGAGGGAGAGUGAGAGUGUGAGAGAAAGAGAGUGAGAGUGAGGGAGAAAGAGAGAUAAGUAUAUAAGAUAGCAAAUAAUGCUCUGACAUCCUCUUAACAAUGGCUACAUAACUAUAUAUAUUUAAUAGUUAUUUAACAAUGUUUUUAACAUUUUGUAAAUAUUAACAUAGUUAUUUAAGUCAUUAUACAGAUAAUUAUAUAAAGAAUUUUAAUGUACAUAUAUUAAAUUUUGAAAGAGUGGUUAAUUAAUAAAUAAAUAAGUAUGCACCUAUUUAAUGUUUAGAUGAUUGGAGUAGUGUACACCAACCAUUUUUCGGGGUAUUCGAAUCCCUGUGCUACUUCACUCUGUUCGUAUAAUCUUUAAACACUAUUAUACAUAAGUCACAACUACUACCUAGUUACAUUCAUUCGAAAUUCGAAUUUUAUGUAUUGAAAUAGCUAGUUUUCAUUAAUAAUUUUGUUAUUGACUUAUCCAAAUGGUUUGGUGAAUUAUAUAAAUUAUGUAAAAAAAAUAAUUUUUAAAUACGUCAAUACACCUUUUGCUAGAUAAGCAGUGUUUACUGAUAAAAAAUCACGCUGUAUAGUCAAAAUACGUAAAUACCUAUGUAUUAAUAACAAACUAUGGUUUAAAAUAUCAAAUUUCUUUAUGCUAUAGCUAUAACCAAACUAUUUACAUGAAUAUAUAUAUUAUAUUUAAAAUAAUAACGUACAACCG